AUGGCCAUGGGCGGCGGUGGCCGCGGCAGCGGUGACGGUGGCCGCGGUAUUCCUGAGGCAGAGGACUCGGUGGGGUUCCGGAGGGGCACAGGCCAGAGUGAUGAUUCGGACAUUUGGGAUGAUACAGCAUUGAUAAAAGCUUAUGAUAAAGCUGUGGCUUCAUUUAAGCACGCUCUAAAGAAUGGUGACAUUUCCGAAGCUUCAGAUAAACCAAAAGCCACACCUAAAAGAAAACCUCCUAAGAAGAAUAAAAACCAAAAAAAGAAUAACACAGCUUCCUUGAAGCAGUGGAAGGUUGGUGACAGAUGUUCUGCCAUUUGGUCGGAAGAUGGCUGCAUUUACCCAGCUACCAUUGAUUCUGUUUAAGAGAGAAACCUGUAUUGUGGUUUACACUGGAUAUGGACAUAGAGAAGAGCAAAAUCUGUAUGAUUUACUUUCCCCCACUUCUGAAGUAGCUAAUAAUAUAGAAGAGAAUGCUCAGGAGAACGAAAAUGAAAGUCAAAUUUCCACGGAUGAAAGUGAGAGCUCCUCCAGGUCUCCUGGAAAUAAGCCAAAUAACAUCAAGUCAAAAGCUGCUCCAUGGAACACUUUUCUCCCUCCACCACCCCCUAUGCCAGGAGCAGGUCUUGGACCAAGAAAGCCAGGUCUAAAAUUCAAUGGCCCACCACCACCUCCACCACCAUCGCCGCUGCGCCACACUUCCUGUCAUGCUGGCUGCCUCCAUUUCCUUCUGGACCACCAAUAAUUCCCCCACCACCUCCUAUAUGUCCAGAUUCUCUGGAUGAUGCUGAUGCUUUGGGAAGUAUGUUAAUCUCCUGGUACAUGAAUGGCUAUCAUACUGGUUACUCUAUGGGGUUCACACAAAAUCAAAAAGAAGGAAGGUGCUCACAUUUCAAUUAA